CACCAACCCCUAUUUUUAAAUAGCGGCAAUACAACGUUUGUCGAGUCAGCUAGUAAUAUAGAUACAAUAGAUUCGGAAAUAUGGAGAGUUGUAGACGGAUCACAAAAAAUGUAAAAAUUUUAAAAUUAUAUCGUAUACUAGCUGCACCCUGGCGUAUCACUCGCGUUAUUUUCGAUCCCGAAGGAAUGUCGGGAUGAAAUAUAGGUGUUAUUUUCAAGUGAGAAAUAGGUGUUAUUUUGAAUCUCAAGCUGUUUUUUGUACCAAGUUCGUAAUUACGGUUUAGUAAUUCUUGCGUGAAAGACUAACAAACACCCGACCAUCCUCACAAAUUUUUGCAUUUAUGUUAUUAAUAGUAUUGUUUACUUUCAACUGCUUGAUCGCAGUUAUUUGUGACCACUAAUGUGUGUUGACAAUAAAUAAACGAUAUACAAAGUCAUUUACCCUAUCUUUUUAUUUAAAUGAAUAAUUCGGUUCGUAUUUCAUUAAUAUAGUUACAUAAUAAUUUAGUUUAAAAGUAAUGAACGAAAUUUGUAAUCAUUUCAAACAUCCUCUGAGCAAUUACUCGGAAAUAAACAAAGAGACAAGAAUAUAAGAAAUAUUCAAUCCCAAAUAAGUACAGAUAUAAAUGUACGAAGUAAAUAUUGAAAUGAAUACUACACAGAUCGAAACACAAAAUGUCAGUAGAACUCUCAUAGAAAGAAUUCCGUACAAUUGUAAUAUCAUUAUGCCGAAAUAAACGUAUUUCUUCUUUAAAAAGUUCAA